UACGGAGGAUCCAAGCGUUAUCCGGAUUCACUGGGUUUAAAGGGUGCGUAGGUGGAAUUUCAAGUCAGUGGUGAAAACCUGCAGCUCAACUGUAGAACUGCCAUUGAUACUGUUAUUCUUGAGUACAUUUGAUGUGAGUGGAAUGUGUCGUGUAGCGGUGAAAUGCUUAGAUAUGACACAGAACACCAAUUGCGAAGGCAGCUCACAAAACUGUAACUGACACUGAGGCACGAAAGCGUGGGGAUCAAACAGG
rnacentral:rRNA from 1 species